GAUGUACGCUGGCGGCGUGCCUAAUACAUGCAAGUCGAGCGAACAGAUGAGGAGCUUGCUCCUCUGACGUUAGCGGCGGACGGGUGAGUAACACGUGGAUAACCUACCUAUAAGACUGGGAUAACUUCGGGAAACCGGAGCUAAUACCGGAUAAUAUAUUGAACCGCAUGGUUCAAUAGUGAAAGACGGUUUUGCUGUCACUUAUAGAUGGAUCCGCGCCGCAUUAGCUAGUUGGUAAGGUAACGGCUUACCAAGGCAACGAUGCGUAGCCGACCUGAGAGGGUGAUCGGCCACACUGGAACUGAGACACGGUCCAGACUCCUGCGGGAGGCAGCAGUAGGGAAUCUUCCGCAAUGGGCGAAAGCCUGACGGAGCAACGCCGCGUGAGUGAUGAAGGUCUUCGGAUCGUAAAACUCUGUUAUUAGGGAAGAACAAAUGUGUAAGUAACUAUGCACGUCUUGACGGUACCUAAUCAGAAAGCCACGGCUAACUACGUG
rnacentral:rRNA from 1 species